ensembl:lncRNA
UGGAUUUCUUGUUUUGAUUUUUUUUUAUUCAUUUCUAUUGGACGCCAUCCAAAAAUACUAGAAGAAUGACAUUUAGUCUCUUAGCCACAUUCAAAGGUGUUUAGUGUAAAUUUCUGGGAGUAAGAUCAAUGUCAGAACCAACCAACACAGAUAGUAGCAUUGUGAAUAAGCUGAAAACAUGACACUCGGGGUUUUGAAAAUAUUUUUUCCUGCAACAGAGACAUGUAAUUGCUAUAUGUACAUACUACUCCUUUCUGAUGUCAGUAGCUGUUGCUUUGAGAUGCCAAAAUUUGUCCGCAUUUUCUAGCUGAAAAAUAAAGAAUGGAAACCCAAUGCUGUUUGAUGUGAGUAGGUGCAAUUUGUACUAGAAAAAGCUCGAAGUUAUGAGAUUGGUAGGUAAGGGCCAGGUACUCAUGUUCAGAUGCUCAGCUCCAUGCUAAACAAAAGCUUCAAGUUUUCAAAAAAACAAAACAAAACAAACAACAACAAACCAACAAAAAAGAAAAAAAAAACAGUCUUAUCUAUUUAGGCUAACUCCUAAAAACAAAAUUUUAAACAGCAAAUUUCAGCUUAUUCUUCAAUAUAUGAGAAUUGCUCUGAAGGUAAUGACUCCUAUCUUAUGAUGUUGGCCCACAAUGGAAAAAAAAAAAAAAAAAAAAAAAAGGCAUCCACUGACAUUUGCUGAUGCUUACUGAAUGUUUAUGGUGGCCAAACAAUGGUGGUGCGGUGGUGCAUUUUAGCAGUGGCAACAGCAACAUGAAAGAUAAGCCACGUUCCAGUUACAUGGAUUUUCACAAGCACAGCAUCCAGACUCUUGUUCAUUACUGGCAAAAAUGCAUAGCUUACAGCGGUAUCUAUUUUGAGAAAUAGUGUUUUAUAGCUGAGAAUUUUCUCUACUGAAUAGUUUUACUGUGCUCUUUGUAUCUGUUGUAGUUUCCAUGGAAAUAAAUAGGAGGCAUUACUUGUGGAGUGUCCUACGUACAUACACCAUUUAAAUUAGAAAUACAGAAAAAAAAACCAACAGGUAAUUCAGUUUCAGGAUAACCACACUUUGCCAGUGUGGUUAUUACAAUUCAGAAAUAAUUGUGCUUGCUUUUGUCUGCCCCUUCACCCCUUUCAGCUGUGUCUUCUAUGACCACUCAAUUUGAAAAUGCUACAUUCUGGUACAUUAUCUGAGGAACAAAAAUACUUUAUCUGGGCUUACUGCUUUUAUUCAACACCCAGAACAAUCUAUGUCUAUUCCUUUAAGCUCCUUGGGAUGUGAAAAAAUAUGGUUACAUAAAUCUUUGUAAUCCUGAGGGGAGGAUAGCAUAUAAAGAGUUUACUGGCGUUAGGAUUAAGUCUAGUGUAUUACAAUGCAAUCUUUAAUCUGCUAAAAUCUACCUUGGUGUUGCAAGCUGUUUUGUGCUUGUAGAUGAAGUUUUGGAAAUAGGACACAGCUGGCAACACUGAUAGAACACCUUAAAAAAGGAAGAAAAGAAAGAAAAAAGACAAAAUCGGUGAAUCUACUAAUGAACAGAUUUGCCACUGCUCCUUGUACAGUGGGCUCUUAUGAGUCUAAAAAAUGACAGAUGAUGGAGGAAAUCCUUGUAACUGAAACUAGGAAGAAACAGUCACUAAAGUUGAAAACACCGCCAUAGUCACCACAGAAAAUCACAAAUGUGAAGCAAAACCCAUGUAACAUUGCCGUGCAAGCUGCAAGAGUCUUACUUGGUUUUGAGAUUCAUCAAUCCAAAUGAAUGUAACAAAUGAGUCUUAGGUACCUAAGAAAAAUGAAAAAUUCCUCAUGCUGAAAGAGACUUUGUUCUCUUUUGAUAAAUCUGUAUGAAAUGAUAACAUUGCUGCAGUCAUGUGCUACUUCAGAGAAAAAAAAUGGGGAAAAUGGCUAUUUUUAGGCAUUUUUCUAAAGAACACCACAGUUCUACUAUUUGAACUUGUCUAUUCCCAGUCAAACAUUUUCCUGUCAAGCUACACAUUACUUCUUCUGAGUUUAAAGAUUCAAAACCAAUGUAGAUCAGCAAUUAAUGCAUAGGCCUAACUGGGAGAGAGGCUGGGGCACAGGUUUCUAGCUCUGCAGCCUUGGCUAAAGCAUUUUUUGGGCACAGCUAUGUGCUCAGGAAAGAAAACAAAAUAUAAAGAUUUGCUUAAGAGCUACUGUGACCUAUGACAGUUAAAUAUCAGAUUAAAUGAAAAUCUAAUUAGGGCCUUAGGUAUUAAAUACAGUUGACCAAGGGAAGCCAAUUGAUGUUGUCUAUUUUGGACCUGCGUAAAGCUUCAGAUACUCUUUCUCUCAGUAUCCUUCUGGUCAAAAUGUCCAGCACACAGCUAGACAAAAAAACAUAAAGCAAUGGAUGAGCAACUGGCUGAUGGUAUGGGUUGAAGAGUUAUGUAUAAUAAGCUACAGUAAAUGGGUUUACAUCAGGCUAGCCAGCCACUAGUGGGGUUCCUCAGGGCUCCAUUAUAGGGCCACUUCGCUUUAAUGUUUCCAUAAAUGACUUGGAUGUAGGACUAGAAGGUGUUUUGAGCAAGUUUGCUGGUGACACUAAAUUGAGAGGAGCUGCUCACUCCAUCACAGGUGGCAAGGCCUUGCAGAGAGGUCUAGACAAAUGAGAGAGCUGUGCAGCCACCAACUGCAUGAAGAGCAAGUGCCAGAUUCUGCACUUGGGAAGGGGCAAACCUGGCUAUACAUACAAACUGGGGGAUGAGAUGGUGAAGAGCAGACCAGCUGAAAUCUGUUCUGGUCAUGGUUGACAGCAAGUUUAGCAUCAGUCAGCAGUGUGCCCAGGUGGACAGGAAGGCCAAUUGUAUCCUGGGAUGCAUCAAGCAUGGUCAAGGGAAUGGAUUGCCCCACUCUACAUGGCCCUGGUGCAGCCUCACCUUGAAUACUGGGUGCAGUUUGAGGCACUACACCACAAAAAGGACAUAAAACUAAUAAAAAGUACCCAAAGGAGGGCUAAAAAUAUGGUGACAAGUCUAGAUGGGAAGAGAUAUGAGGAGCAGCUGAAGUCCCCCGGUUUGUUCAGCCCAGAGUAGAGAAUGAGGAGAAACCUCAUUGCAGCCUAUUGCUUCCUCACAAGGGGGAAUGGAAGAGCAGGUGCUAAUCUCUGCUCUCUGGUGACAGGAACAGGACCAGAGGGAGUAGCACGGAGCUACAUCAGGGAAAGGUCAGAUUGAUUGUCAAGAAAAUGUUCUUCAACAAGAGGUUAACAGGCACUGGAAAAGGCUCCCCAUGGAAGUGUAAUGACAUUGAGUUUGCCAGAGUUCAGUAAGCAUCUGGAAAAUGCUCUCAGUCCUAUGAUCUGAUUUUUGGGUAGUCCUCUGUGAAUCCAGGGGUUGGACUCAAUGAUCAUUAUGGGUCUCUUCCAACUUGGGAUAUUCUGUGAUUCUAUACUGUAUCUGAAAAAAAGAGAGUUCAUGUGGGCCUUUUCCAUAGCUGAGAGCCCUAUAGGAACCUCACAUAGUGCAUCAAAAAAUAAAUAAUUAAGGUUUUCCCUUAAGCUCUUAAGUGAUAUUCAAAUUCUGAAACUGAAAACUACUGUUUCGAACAAUUCAAAGUCUGAACAAAUUAUUAGACAUCAGCAUAAAAUUCUGUACUUUCCUGGAAUGCUGCCAGGGUGUUGAGUUUUUUUUUUACUUUUCGUUUUGUUUAAUGGAGAUGCAUAUUUUUCUACAGCUAGGGUUGUUCCAUCUGCCCUUGUCAAGCUUUAAAUAUACUAGAGCUCGUUAGAGCUAAAUAUAAGCCUUAAUACACAGACUUAUGUUUAUCUUAUAAAAUUAUGCAAAUUAUCCUGCACAUAAACUGAUAUUGAUCAGUAUUUCUGUUAGAUAAGUUAAGCUUUAAGCAAAAUAGUUCCAGUCUUAGAAGGAAGCCUUAGCAGAAAGGAGUCAUGAGACUUCAGAAUCUACAAGAUUGUAAAGUAGUAGCUUUUCCUUCUUAUUUACUAGUUUGCAUUUCCAAAGCACUACACAAUCGUGAACAAAUUAAUCUAAGGCAUUACAGUGAAUUUUACAGAUAAGGACAUUAAAAGCCUUUAGUAAAUGUUUAAUUGAAAUAACUGCCAUACGUUAAUUCCAAGAAACUUGUUUCAGUAUCAGAAAGAUUUAGCAAACAUCUAGUGAGAGUGAACUCAAUAUGCCCCAGUGCAGAGAAUCUCACGUGCACUACCCUUCUCCCUCAGCUAGAAAGAACUGCUUUGAAAUGACAUCUUAAGAGUAAAUGAGGAGCACACUAAGAAUGGAAAGAAAUUAAUAAUACACAAGCCUAUGGAAUAGACAGAGCAUGUGCAGAAACCAUAUUCUUUAUGGCUGCCCCUUAGGCAACAGCACAGCUUUGCAUGGAGAAAAAGCUUUCACUUGGUCCUCACAGUAGUUCUGAAUCUAACUUCCAAAUCAAAGGAUUUGUACUCCUUUAAGCAAGAGUGACUGUCACCCCCUCCAGAAUGGUAAGUUAAUUCUAAUCACUCAGUAAAAUCUGGCAGAGGAUAGCCUGUGGUGAACUCAAAGGUUUUCUCACAGAACUGUGUUUUAAUGUAAAGCAUCACCGCUUCUGCAUUCUGUCAUCUGCCAAUGGGAAUCCAAUUGCUUCAGGAUCCCUACUAAACACCACUGUCAUAAAAUAAACUUUUAUAUUAAACUUCUGUUCCUGUGCAGUCAUUUUUGAACAAAGUGUCUGGCAUUUAACCAAUUGGUCUUUUCCUGGGUAAAGGUCAUAGAGAAAGAAGGAGGAUGUGAUCCUUCACAUCCAAUUAUCCACAUCUCGAGACAUGUUAUACUGGAAGAUUUUUGCCACAUCUCAUCUAUUAGGAUAACCCUUUCCCUAGCACAAUACCAAACUGUUGUGUUUCUGGAACUGAUAUCCAAUAGUGAUUUCAGUAGAAAAGAGUGGAUGGAAAAAAAAUUAAAUCUACUAGGAAAAAUAGGUCUUCACAUUUCACAAUAACAUGCAUAUUGCUUAUUAGCAGGCAUUUAGGUCAUAUAUGCACAGAGAGUCUAGCAGUCCAGCCGUGUGACUAUCCAGCCAGAAGCACACCAUCAGUUGGGUGGGCAGACCCAAGAACGCUUGCACAUCCUCUGUCAGCCUGGUUUGUUUCCAUAGAUGACUUUUUAAGAAAUGUCUCUUAACUGAUACUUUUGGCUUCCUAUGCAUGACAAGGUUAUGUUUGAUAAGUGCAUAAAUACACUAUGGUAUUUUAGAUUUCUUGCUUACCCAGUUUUGGGGGACAAAAGAUCUCUGAGUAAAAAAGAAUCUGGGAUAUUUUGAGAAUAUUCUCCAAGGGGGAGAAAAAGGAAGGCAGGUGGCAGAGUGAGAGCUAGGAAGGAGAGAGCAGAAGGGUGAAUAAUAUUAUAUUACUAAUGAAUGAUGGCCUGCUGGUGUGAACUUGAAGUGUUUUAAGAUCCACCCCAUCAAAGCUGAGAUUACCUGAAAAAUAUUUUCCUGAAUCUCUAAAAUAUUCUCAAAGUUUUGUAUUUGCCUCUCAUUCUUCAGGGUAACAUCCUCAAUUUUGGAUUAAAAGUAAAGUAUUUAAUCCUGGAACUGUUGUUUAUUCAGGCAACAAGCUGAAUUUCAUUCUUAUAUUGGUUCUUCUUAAAUAAACAUAGAUGUAUACCUGGAAUACUGAAGAUAUAUCUUGCAAAACAAUGAAUGAUAAUAAACAAUGAUAUGCUAUGAUGAUAAACAGUGAAACUGCUUAGAUAGUAAAUAGGUGGCAUUCCUAAAAGAAGUAAAGCUAGACAUGGACCAGCUUUUGCUUCUUCCUAUAUAUCUGCCCUUAAUAUUUGUGGACUUUUUGUUAUAAGUGAAUUUAAUGAGUGUCAUUCUGCACAUUUACUAAGUAAGGCAACAGGCACUGUGCAUAUUGGUCUGUGCUCAGAUAAAAUUUCAGUUAAAAUAUAUAUAUGAAUAACCAAAUAUACUCACUACAAGAGCACAUUAAAAAAUGGAAAACAAAAAAACACUCUGUUGAAUACUGUCUGGCUCUGUUUUGUGAAGGCCUUCCCAAAUCCUCUCCUAUCUUCACAAAAUCAGGAUAGUAUAUUCUCUUAUGUCUUAGCAAAAUAAAAAUGAUACCUGGCAUUUCAUCUGCUUAGUUGGCUCUGCUGUUAAGGGAUUUAAUUCCUCUCAGCAGAUAUACAAAUGAGAACAUUUGUCUUAGUCCUAGAGACAGAAUCAUUUAUGUUACACUGCUUUGCAUUAUGUUAAUAAUUUCUAUCCUAAGUGAAGUCACAGGAAGUGUUUGUCACUAUCUCCAAUGGGACUCAAAUUUAUUUGAUGUAUGUUUAGUAUAUAUAAAGUUCAGUCAUUUCACUAGAGUUCUUAUAUUCAUAAUGGAUAACAUUUUUCUCCAAUGCUUUUUUGAAAGGAGGAAAAAAAUUGCAUGCAUGCAUAUUCAUAAAAUACUACCACAGAAGAAUUAGAAUUGUGUACAAUUUGAAAGAGUGCUGAAUUACAGGUGGGGUUAAAACAACUUCACAUUAGUGAAAUAUCGUAUGGUGGCUUUCAUUAUUGAUUCUCUGUCAACAUCACGUUAGUUCUUUUCUAAAUCAGUUCUGUGGCUUGAACUUGAAAAGACCAUGAUGCGGAGUCCACAGGUUCAUUCUAAUUGCUCCUUUUCCUGGUAGACUCCACUGUGCCAGCCUGUCACUCAUCAAGACCAUUUGUCUGUGAACAGACUUAAUUAAGCACCUCAAAUCCAAUUUCUUUGAUCUUUUACACUAUUAAGGAAACACACUCAGUCCAUCAGCUAUGGAGAGUUUUCUAAAGAAAAACCUCCUGAAAACACCCACUGGUGUUAUUCUCCUCUGUUGAAAUAGAAAGUUCAAAAACAAGCAGGUGAAUUAGGAAGGGAAAAUAAAAUAAUUGGAGAGACAACAAAAAAAUUGUUAAAUCCUAAAUAUUCAGAAGAUUUAAGGAGUGAUUUACAGCACUUAUCAACUCUUGCACUUUUUUUCUCUCUCAAGAGAGAAAAAUAUCCAGUAGAGACUUGAUUUAAAUAUAAAUGUUUAGUUACCCUCCUUUCAGAAUUUAGCAGGCAAUUGCAUUUGUUUUUGUGAAAGAGGUAUGCACUUUCAGCAUCCUUUCUCACUGCUCAAAUAUCCAGCACAUUGAUAGAAAUGGUCAGGUGGAAACACUUUAAAAAUAAAUAACCAGAGUUUCAUGAAAAUAAUUCAAGAGCUGCUUUUGGGCUUUUUUAUUAACAUUCUUGCCAUUUACACUGUAUUGACUUAAUUAUUUUCAGAUAAUAUUUACCUGUGUCUACUCUUAUAAUUGCAUCUUAUGCAAAACUGUUUGCAUUCAUAAAAAGAUCUUAUCUCGCAGCUUUGUGACAGAGAUUAUUCUGCACUCAAUGGCUACUCACUGCACCAUCAACCAGAAACCAAAUUCAUAAUAUAGAUUGUUGUGAGUAAUAACUUUUAAGGAUUUUUUAAUAAUUAAUUUAUUAAUAAUGAUUUCAUUCCACACUGGGAAAUAAGUUAUUUGUAUUUUAGAAAAUACUGCUGCUAAAGGUGUUUUUCUGAAAGAAGAUCACUAGCUAUAGUUCAUUCUAUUGUUGUCAGGUAUUUUUCAUGCCUUGUUAGCUAAUUUCCUCUUCUUACUGUCAGUUAAAUAUUUUCCAGAAUUUCAUGGUUAUGGAAUGGAGAUCAGACUUCUGCAGCCAUAUCUGAAGAGCAGCUCCUGUGUGACAAACACUUAACUGGUUAAAGAGUGUUUUACAACUCUACGUAAGGCUGAAUUAACCAGAUAAAUAUUCAGGCCUAAACAUGGUCAUGGUACAAAGUUGAUUUGAAACAGAUAAAAAUUGCUAAUUCGAGCUUUGUGAAAACUUUACACAUAUAUUUGUAUAUAAAAUAUUUAGUUCUCUCUUUAGUUUGAGACUAUUUCUUCUAUUAACAAUUCAUUAUGGUCUAUGUAACAACAUACGUAAAUGAAGUAGAAAUGUCUUCAGUGACUACUGGGAUUGCUCAGUCUGGAGAAGAGGCUCAGAGGAGACCUUAUUGCUCUCUAUAGCUACCUGAAGGGAGGAUGUCGUGAGCUGGAGGUCGGCCUCUUCUCUCAUGUAACUAGUGAUAGGACUAGAGGGAAUGGCCUCAAGUUACUCCAGGGAAGAGUCUGGCGGGACAUUAGGAAAUACUACUUUUCUGAAAGAGUCAUCAGGUGCUGGAAUGGGCUGCCACCCAGAGAGAUGGCGGAGUCACCAGCCCCGGAGGUGUUCAAGGAAUGUUUAGACGCUGUGUUGAGGGACAUAGUUUAGUGAGAACUAUUGGUGAUAGGUGGACAGUUGGACUGGAUGAUCUUGUAGGUCUUUUCCAAUCUUAGCGAUUCUAUGAUUCCAUACUUCAUUGUAUACUACGAUUAUAACUAUCCUCAGACAAAAAAAAAUUAUGUGGCAAAUGUAGUACAUUUCCUAUGUUCCUUUUAGAAGCACUUUUUUGUCCUUCAGAAAACAAAAAUCAGAUUUAUUUUAGAGUUUACUUUUCUUAAAUUCCUAUCAGAUAAGACAGAUAUUUAUGCUAGAAAGUAGUAUAGAGUUUAUUUAAUUACUUUUCCAGUUUCUAUUCUCUAUUCUAUUUCAGUUCUCUCUCAGAAUAUAAGGUACAUUUGGAAGUUUGAAGAACUGUAGGACAAAACUUAUGAUGAAAGCUGAAAACUGGCAUUAGAUUUUAUUAAAUAAAUCAUCACUGCAAGAAGGUAGAAAUAAUCCUGAGCAAUGCUGUAAAUUCCACGUAGUCUCAAUUUGUUCUCACUUCAUUUUGCAGUAGUAUUCACAUGUGCUAGCUCAUAAGAGUUGAUAUCACUGUUAGUUAUUGCUGUGCUUUCUUCUAAUUACCACCAAAUUGUGACCACAGCAAACUACAUAUGUUUUUUAAAAUAUCACUCUUUUAGUUCUUCAUCCUUGAUGCAAACAUGAUGAGAAAUGUAUCUAUGCUUAUUAGGUGUCUUACAGCAAGGCAAAGUUACCCAUAUUAAGUCUCAGGAGAUAGGACUUUCUUCUGACCCAGAUAUUUACAAAACUGGAAGUCAAAGUACAGCAACAUGAGCAAUUGGACAAGUCAUCAGUAAGAGCUAAUGAGAAACUGUGUAAAAUGACAUAAUUCUAUUGGAUACUGAGAUGGUAUCAUUAGUAUGUAUUAAAAGACUCAGAGAGGGUUAAAUUAAGAAAUGAUGUGCCACUUUUCAUUAUCCCAAGGAAGUCCUGUAUACAGUAUAUCAUUAGAAACUAUUUACUGAAGCAAAAUAUCAAGCACACAUUGUGUAUCUCUUGAAUCAAGAUGUCAUAAAUAAAUAUUUUCAAGACAAAAUAAGCAAACUUGCACUUCAGUAGGCCAUGAAUCUGACCUCUUUAUCAUGUACUUCAAAAUAAAAUCACUGACUUCUUUUUUUUAACAGCCUUUGCUCACCAUCCACUAGAAUUUUCUGACAAAAAUCCCCACAAGGGCUCUGAGUUAAGGCGGGCUGAGCUAGCUGACACAACCAACUCUGAUUUCCAUUCAGUAUUCAGCUAGUUCCAGUCACCAAAGGGUCUUAAAUUAAGGUAACAUGAGAUAAGAGGGAAGAUCCUCACUGGGAUAACUAACUAAGAGAUUGGAAACAAAGAGCUUCAAUAAAUGGUCAAUUUUCUCAGUGAAUAGAAGGCACCAGUGGUAUCCCACAGGGAUCUUCACUGGGGCCAAAGCUGCUCGACAUGCUCGGGGCUGAUCAGGAGAACAGAAUGGAGAGCAGAUUAAGUUUGCUGUUGCUACCAAGUUUUCAUGGUAAGAAAAACAGAAACUGACUGCUAAAAAGAGAGUUGAAGAAAGACUCUGUGGCACUGAGUGAUUGGGGAUAAAAUGGCAGACGACAUUCAGACUACACAAAUGUAAAGUAAUGAACUUGGCAAAAAACAGCUCAUGCUGUGCCCAGUGAUUGAUUCUGAAUUCACUGCUACAUCAGACAAAAUAACAGCCUUAUGAAAAUAUCAGUUCAGUAGCUCAGGAAUCAUUAUCAGAGGAAAAUCUCAGAAAAUGUAAUGUUUUUGUGCAAAGUCAAUGCUAUGAUCAUAUCUUGAUUGUUAUGUAUAAUUCUGGUCCUUUCAUCUAGAAAAAGCACAGAGUAGAAUUUGAAAAAAAGGUGGACAAAGAUGAUCAAAGGUAACCAAAUAACUCACACAGAAGGGUGAUCUGUAAGAGCUGGGGCUCUCAAUCUAGAAAAGAGCCAACACAGAAGCACGUAAAAAUCACAGCAGACAAAUAGGAGAAUAAGGGAUAAACGAGCUGCCUCUUGCAUUGCAACAGGAAAGCCUCAGCUGGAAAUGAGCAUGUGGAAGUUCAACAUCAAAAACCAGACUGUGCACAGCUCAGUCAAACCUCUCUAAGCCUUGGCCAGUGAACAUCACUGAGUUGUGAAGAUUAUUCAUUUUAAAGAUCAAAGUGAACAAUUGCUUGAAGAAGCUCCAACUAAGUCCAUUAACAUUCCUUUUCCUGGGAAUCUCUUUUUGUACAAAGCUCAAAAUCCAGCCAAAAUCAUCAUGCAUUCAAGUGAUCAAUGAAUGAGCACUACAUACGGCAAUGAGGCAAUGAAGUUUAUAUUCAUUUCAUGAUCAUUUGCCACUUGAUUACAUGGAGUUAACUCACAGAGGAACUGCCUUUCCAAAGUUUCCCAGUCAAACUUGUAAUGAAUACUCCCCUCAUUUUGACUGAACUAUUUUGCUUUUUAAGGAAGUGAUACCUUUUCCUCAUUGCUGCCGUAUAGACUUGAGGAAAACUCUAGCAUUACAACAGAGUUCCAAAGGGCAAAGAAGACUUGACCACAGGACUGCUUGAUUAUAGCAGAGAACACAUGCAGUAUGAGCUUUGGACAAGUAAGAGAUACUGCUUAUGCAUCUGCUGCCCAGAAAAAUUUACAGCACAAAUGUUGUAUGAAUCAGUGUGAUAGCUGCUGUCAGCUACAAAUAUCAUCUACAUAUUACGCACCUACCACAUGCAAAAUACUCCCACAAUGAUCUUAUUAAAGAGGCUGUGCCAUACAUCAAAAUAAUGUUAUACCUACAGCAGCCUGUAGGUUCUAAAAUAUGCCCUUCCUGCUUAUUUUGUACACAGCGAAAAAUGACACACUUGUGAGUAAACUUGCUCAUUAAUUCUGACAGAUAAUUCUGAAUACACAGUUGAAACCUCAACUUAAGUAUCUGAAAGAUGUAGAAAUAGAAGUGUUCCAAAUGUUAGUGAAAAAGAAGGAGUAAGAGGUAGAGGAACAGAGAUGACAACAUAAUUAUUUGAGCUGUGCAGAAUUUUAGAUGGGUAAUAAUUAACUGAGUGGUGAAUGGCUCAGAUAAGAGAGAGAAAAAUCUCACAACCUUUUUUUGAGUAGUGUCUGAAAAUAUCUGGAUCCAAAACAGAAGACUGUUUUGCAACAAUCACUCCUGAGUUUCCCUCUUCCACCAGCUUUUCCCAUCUACCUCAUUGUCUAAAAAGCAAAAGAUACUCUGGACACAACCAUGUAAGAACUGAGGAAUAGUCUGUGCUCAUUCACAGCCUUAAGGAGAUCAGUGUUCAUUGAGAUGGGAGGAAAAGAGAAUCUCCAGAGUUUUGUCUCAAAAAGGCCCAACAAACUGCAGAGCUGUGUGUCUGUGGCUGAGGUCCAGCCAGCCUCAGUGCCUCCGAGCAGCACAGGUGGGAGUUCCUCCACAUUUGAAGCUGUGGUCCCAUGUGCAAUGGCCCAGCUUCCCAGCAGGGCUGCUGCCCUUGGAACACCAACCAGCAGUAGGAGAAGCCUCACUGCCUCUCCAUUCCUUACUCAGAGCUAAGGAUGUCCAAGUCUGAGGCUGAAAGGGGGAAGCAGCAGUCCCAGUCCUGCCAAGCAUGAAGAUACAGGGCCCAGAAGAGAUGUCAGCACAACGCAUUGUCAAGGAGAUGAGUUUUAUCUUGCAUGUCAGAAACCAGCUGUGAUUACUCCAGGUGCUGUGAUCUGACAGAAUCAAAGCAUUUCCUAGAACAGCUUUGUGCCAUGAGCUGAAGCUGCUUCUCAGGAAUCAAGUAGAUUCUCCUCCUCCACUGUCCCUUUGCUAUAUAAAACCUGCGCAUAAUCCACUCUUUCCCAUAUUUUUCAUGCAAAGCCAUUUACAUUAUUUGUUGAAAGGCCAGGCAAACACAUACAGCAUGCAAUUCAGUACAGUAAAUGUGAAAACAUUUGCCAUUAAUUAUUGUAACCCCCAAUAAUUGUGAUCCCCGUGCGAAAAGGUAAAGAUAAACCAUUACCUACAAAGAAUAUUUCAUUUUCUAUGUAAGGAGGUGGCAGUGGAAGCUUGCUAGCAAUAAGUAGCCAGGACAGUAAUCUGAAAGUUUAUAUAUGUAGCUAGUGCUCCAGCCAGCAGAUAAUGCAGGCAAUUAGUGCUACUGUUAAUGUGCCUGCAUGCCUCAUUUCUGGAGAUGCAUGCUGAGCGCUCUCCUCUUAAGGUGGCUUCAGCAAGUGGUCCCUAUUUAACAGACACAGCUGUAUGCAAGGAAAGCAGAUCUUUCAGGAGGACAAGCCACAGUUUUAACUUGUUCUUGGUGUCAGAGCAGCAAUUGCAGUGAAAUGGAAGGAAAAAAACUAAACAAGUAUACAUCUACUAUAGACAGAUGGCUAAUAAAAAUUUGGGGAGCUCUUUCAAUACAGAAAUUGAGUAGUUUAAAAAGACACCUACAUAACAAAUGCUUGGACAUGUUGUCUCCUUUUAUAGAACACAAACAUUUGCCCUUUAACUCAGCAGCUCAACUAUUUGUUCCUUUGCUACUUAUUCUAUGCAAAGCUUCAAAACAGGCAUACAGCCAAUAUUUAACCUUUACUAUAUAACGUAAUGAACCCACCCAAACAAUAGGUGCAGCAAAUAUUAACAACUAAAGUGCCAUACUCAACUACAGCAAUGAAUUUUUAUGGUGAAGAUCCUGGAUUUCUGCCCUAUCGUGCCAGGUGUAGAGUAGUCCCUAUGAAUUAGCAGGUUGCAAUAACCCGUAAAUACGCAUCUCAGCCUGCUGAGGUUUAUGCACGCCUGCAAACAUCUGCUUUUGUUUUGUACUUCCAUCUGAAGACAAGAACAAAUAUUUCUAUUUCCUCUCAAAUGUUGACAGGUGAAUCAGUGUUUCAACAUUAAAGUAGGUCAGCCCACGUUGCAUUAUUCAGUGUAGCAGCAUGACACUUCUCAAUGAUAAAAUAUUGUCUAAUACUAAUUUGAAGUGAUACAAGCAUAUAUCUGCUUUCUGCAGAAGAAAAGUUGCUUUAAUUUGAAAUUGUCCCUCCUCCGUCUGGAAGGAAAACGUGAAGGAUUACAAAUCAAUUCUUAUUGCCUGCCUAUCCUCCUCAUCCUAGUCUAUAGCUGUGCAAGCCCACAAUUUGAGGACAAGCAAAUGUCUGCUCUGAGGAAGUACAAGUGACAGCUGAUGUACAGGGGUAGCAGCAGCUCCAAAAAAAGAAUUAAAGCUACCUCACAUGCAACAAACUUCUGGGAAUCUCCCCCAACCAUUUACAGAGUCACAAUCACAGCAUUUUCUAUUCCCUAAAGUGAUUUCUCUCCCCUCUCACAUUCUUUUCUGCAUAAUCUAGGGAAUUAUUCAUGAAUUAGGAAAAUCACUGUUUGUACACAAUUUCAAACUUUAUAUUAUGGCAUAGCCAGUCUAAAAUGUCACUUGUUGUUGCACUGUAGAAAAUAGACUCAAUAUGUGUUCAUUUAUCUUUAUGUUCAAGUAGAUACAUGAGGGCUGCUCUGAAAGCAUUGCAUUCCAUUUUAUGCUGUUUGCCCAUAAUAUCAGGGGCAGAUAUUGGUGGGAUGGGAGUAGAGGCUAAACCUUUCCACCAAUAUUCCAUUACAUUGUGUUGCUAUGUGACAGAUGGCAGCAGAGGGGCAAUCUGACAGAAUGGUGUCUGAUAUGGAAGAGCAUAUGGAUUAAAGGGGUGAUCAGGAGUGAAUGCCCCCCUGCAGAUAAAAUGGCACCCAAUGACAUUCGCCGAUGCUUACUGGAUGGUUAUUGGGACCAAAUAGUGAACGUGAACAAAGUGAGGCAGUGGGUGGUGUGUUUCUGCAGUGAUGACACCAAUGUGAAAGACAAACCACGUUCCAUGCACAGCUGUCACACCAUGAAAUGAAGAGCAUUUCAGUCAGCUCACCCACAUAAAUUUGUGGAUUAUGAUGAUGGAACUGUGUAUGGAGCUGAAUAUCAGCUCCAAUACGUUGGAAACUAUAGUGGAAACAUUGGAAUAUCGCAAAGUUUACACCAGGUGGGUCCUCCAAAUGCUCACAGAGGAUUAGAAAGAACACUGUAUGCAAGUUUGUCAAAACCUAUUGAACCAAUAUGAAGUAAAGGUUACAGUUUCCUGGAUCACAUCAUUACUGGUGAUGAGACCUGGUAUCAGCAUUACAAGCCAGAGUCAAAACAGCACGCCCACAGAGUGGUGACAUGUGACUUCACCAUCAAAGAAAAACUGCAGGAUGCAGCCCCUCAGUACAUAAAUUGAUGUGCACUGUUUUUGGGGAUAAGAAAGAGAUGAUCCUUCUGGAUUUCCUGGAAUUCAGACAAACCACCAACUCCAGCCACUAUGUUCUGAUGCUGACUAAGCUGAAGGCUCAAACUUCCAGAGGUAGGCCAGAGAACAAGACAAUCUUUCUUUCACAACAAGGUAAUGCCAGGCCCCAUUCCAGUUUGAACAACAUGGAGCACAUUGCCAAUCUUGGCUGGACCUACCACACCUACCAUAUUUGGUGCCUUCUAAAUUCCAUCUGUUUGGGCCAAUGAAAGGUGGACUGUGUGGGCAACAUUUUUCUAGCAGUGACACCAUCAUAGCAGCUGUGAAACAGUGGGUCACCUUCACUGGUCCAGAUUUCUACGUAUGUGGCAUGCAGGUUCUUGUUCAUCACUGGUGAAAAUGCAAAGCUAAUGGUAGUGACUGUUGAAAAAUAGUGCUUUGUAGCUGAGAAUUUGCUCUAUCAAAUAGUCAUUGUGUUCUUCAUAUCAGUUGUAGUUUCCAUGGAAAUAAAUAGGAAACAUUAUUUUUGGAGCAACCUAUGCACUAAAAAAAUAUACCUGAAAAUAUCCUUCAAAAUGAAACAGCCUAUGAUCAUAGUUGCAGCUGAUGAGAUGGAAGAAAAAUCCUAGAACCUGUUACUGUAAUAUUAGCAGAGAUAGUAGAUGUGGAUUUAUCCAAGGGUAGAGAUGUAAAAGUUAAGUCUUUCUCUAACAGUAAUGCCUCCUCCCCAUUAGCAGUAUACUCCUCUACAUCGGUUUUAUUUGCUUCUGGCCCUUACCAGAUACAACAGCAGACACUUCAGCUCUUCUCCAACACACAUCAUAAAACCUCUAAAAAGAUGAAGGGAUAAGAACUGGAUGGAGAGAAGGGGGCUAUGCUAAACAUACAACACUGGUUAACUCCCCAUAGAAAUCCAUGCUGAUGUAAACUGAUGUUAUUCUAUAAAAAUUAAAAUAACUGUUUACAGCAAGAUCUGUUUCUGAUUUUUAAAGCUUUUCAGAUUAACAAGAAAAACUCA